AUACGUAGGGGGCGAGCGUUGUCCGGAAUGAUUGGGCGUAAAGGGCGCGUAGGCGGCCCGGUAAGUCUGGAGUGAAAGCCCUGUUUUUAAGAUGGGAAUUGCUUUGGAUACUGUCGGGCUUGAGUGCAGGAGAGGGAAGUGGAAUUCCCAGUGUAGCGGUGAAAUGCGUAGAGAUUGGGAGGAACACCAGUGGCGAAGGCGACUUUCUGGACUGUAACUGACGCUCAGGCGCGAAAGUGUGGGGAGCAAACAGGAUUAGAUACCCUGGUAGUCCACACUGUAAACGAUGAAUGCUAGGUGUAGGGGGUAUCGACCCUUUCUGUGCCGCAGGCAACACAAUAAGCGUUCCGCCUGGGGAGUACGGUCGCAAGGUUGAAACUUAAAGGAAUUGACGGGG
rnacentral:rRNA from 1 species